AAAAAAAAAAAAAAACUUGACCGUUGGGGUAUUUACUAUGCUUACCAAUAAAUACAAUAAGGUGGUUGUGGAAGGAAUAAAUUUGGUGUUAAGAUACCUACUCCAUCUCUUAUCCUGACUAAGUUUCUGCCCAAAAAGCCAGUCAAAAUUGGGUUUAAGGUGAGCAGCUAGUAGAAAUCACCCACUGAGAUGAUGUCUGCUACCAAGCAUCUGCGAGAUCAAUUUUGAUUAAGGAGUUUCACAUAUUAGGUUUUGUCUACUAUUUCGAGAUGACCAGCUGGGUGCAGAUGAUUUGCAAUUGAAUUGGAAGUGAUCGGGAGCAUAUUUUUAAAUUUUGGGGAUAAAGACCAUCUCUGUUGAUAAUUAGAUUUUUAUCCCUUUCAAAUUGUUGCUAUAGUUGCUUUUGGCUUGAUCUGGUGCAGAGGGCAACAGUAUUGGCAUAAAAAGGUCCAAAGGAUACCAUUAUUUGAGUUCAGUUGGAAGUGAUCUGGAGCUAAUUAGAACAUUUGGGGGAUAGAAUCCAUCUCUCUUCACAGUUAGAUUUUUAUCCCUUUUGAAUUGUCACGUUUGACUUGAUCUGGUGCCGAAGACAACAGUAUUGACAUAAAAUAAGUCGAAAGGACACCAUCAUUUGAGAUAUUCAGAAUGUAUUUGUUUUGUGUGUGAUGUUUUGCAAUCCUCUUGAUCUUCUUAAUUGAUAUACCUGAUCCAUAUCUGCAGUGCUAAUAUGCCAAUUGGUAUUCGCAGGUAUUUUCUGACUGAAAUUGAAGGUUCUGAGCAAAAAUCUGAUCCAGAGACUGAAAAGGACUGCAGAUGCUGUUGGAUUCUGACCUCCCUGCACUCGAAGCGGAUUUUCUGGAGCUACAGAAGCCCAAUUGGCGCGCUCUCAACGGCGUUGGAAAGUAGACAUCCAGGGCUUUCCAGCAAUAUAUAAUAGUCCAUACUUUGCCCAAGAUUUGAUGGCCCAAACCUGCGUAGCAAACCGGCCUCAGAAAUUCCAGCGUUAAACGCCGGAACUGGCAUAAAACUUGGAGUUAAACGCCCAAACUGGCAUGAGAACUGGCGUUUAACUCCAGAAAACGUCUCUACACAUAAAAGCUUCAAUGCUCAGCCCAAGCACACACCAAGUGGGCUCGGAAGUGGAUUUUUCUGUCAAUUACUCAUUUCUGUAAACCUUAGGAUACUAGUUUACUACUUAUAGGACCUUUUGACUUUGUAAUCAGUACGGAAUGCGACCUUAUGACAUUGUACACCUUUUCUUCCACAGCAUGAGUCUCUAAACCCCAUGGUUGGGGGUGAGGAGCUCUGCUGUGUCUUGAUGAAUUAAUGCAAUUACUACUGUUUCUCAUUCAAUCAUGCUUGCUUCCAUUCUAAGAUAAUACUUGUUCUUAAUCCGGAUGAAUGUGAUGAUCAGUGACAAUCAUCAUCAUUCUCAACUAUGAACAUGUGCCUGACAACCACCUCUGUUCUACCUUAGAUUAAGUAGUUAUCUCUUGGAUUCUUUUAUCGGAAUCUUCGUGGUAUAAGCUAGACUGAUGGCAGCAUUCAAGAGAAUCCGGAAGGUCUAAACCUUGUCUGUGGUAUUCUGAGUAGGAUUCAAUGACUGAAUGACCGUGACGUGCUUCAAUCUCCUGAAGGCGGGGCGUUAGUGACAGACGCCAAAAGAAUCACUGGAUUCUACUCCGGUCUGAUUGAGAACCGACAUAUGGAAUGCCAUGCCGUGACAGGGCAUUAGGAAUCGUUCCAAUGAGAGGAUGGGAGGUAGCCACUGACAACGGUGAAACCCUACACACAGCUUGCCAUGGAAGGAGACUUGCGUGUUUGAUGAAGAAGACAGUAGGAAAGCAGAGAUUCAGAAGAUGGAGCAUCUCCAAACCUCAACCUAUUCUCCAUUACUGCAAAACAAGUAACCAUUUCAUGUUCUUUUGCUUUUCACAAUCAAUCCUGAUAAUUUCUGAUAUCCUGACUAAGAUUAACAAGAUAACCAUAGCUUGAUUCAAGCCGACAAUCUCCGUGGGAUCGACCCUUGCUCACGCAAGGUAUUACUUGGACGACCCAGUGCACUUGCUGGUUAGUUGUGCGGGACUGCAAAAGUGUUAUUGCAAUUUCGUGCACCAAGUUUUUGGCGCCGUUGCCGGGGAUUGUUCGAGUUUGGACAACUGACGGCUUAUCUUGUUGCUUAGAUUAGGACUAUUUUUGUUGGUUUAGAGUCUUUUAGUUGAGUCUAGUUUCAUAUUCUAAGUUUGGUGUCAAU